rnacentral:rRNA from 1 species
GGAUUAGAUACCCUGGUAGUCCACGCCGUAAACGAUGUGUGCUAGACGUCGGGGGUUCCGCCCUCGGUGUCGCAGCUAACGCAUUAAGCACACCGCCUGGGGAGUACGGCCGCAAGGUUAAAACUCAAAGGAAUUGACGGGGGCCCGCACAAGCGGUGGAGCAUGUGGUUUAAUUCGAUGCAACGCGAAGAACCUUACCAGCUCUUGACAUGCCCAUUAUGGUCAUUGGAGACGAUGACCUUCGGUUCGGCCGGGUGGGACACAGGUGCUGCAUGGCUGUCGUCAGCUCGUGUCG